rnacentral:lncRNA from 1 species
GGAGAGGCAGCUGCGGGAGCUGGAGGAGCGCUACGCGCUGGAGACCGCCGGCUACCAGGACACGGUGGUGAGGCUGGAGGAGGACAUCCGCAGCCUGAAGGAGGAGAUGGCGCGGCACCUGCAGGAGUACCAGGACCUGCUCAACGUCAAGCUGGCCCUCGACAUCGAGAUCGCCACGUACCGCAAGCUGCUGGAGGGCGAGGAGAGCAGGUGAUGGCAGAGCGGGGCCUCAUCCUGCCCCGAACCAUCCCCACGUCCUCCUGGUCCCUCUGGGGGUGAGGAGCAGCCCCCAGCCCUCCUGCCCCAGCCCUGGGCAGAGUGGAGCUGCUGUGUGGGGCGGUGGGGACAUGGUACUGUCCCCGACGCCCCCGUCGCUCCCCCAGGAUCACCAUCCCCGUGCAGACCUUCUCCAACCUGCAGAUCCGAGAGACCAGCCUGGAUGCCAAAUCCCUGUCAGAAGCUCACCCGAAGAGGACCAUCGUGGUCAAAACUGUGGAGACCAGAGAUGGAGAGGUGGGAAGUCCUCAUCCGUGCCUCCCACACUGCUUCCCCUCCAUCCCCGCCUGCCCGCAGGGUGUCCCCAAAGGGGGCUGCUCGUCACGCAGGUGGGGCCACCAUCCCUCAGCCCCAGGAGCAGCCUGGACAGGGAGCGGGGCAUCCUGGUGCC